rnacentral:lncRNA from 1 species
AAGAAAAAUAACUGUGGGCAGUUAUCUCGUCCAGGGACAAGCCCUUCUGAAUGUGAAAACUGCCCUCAGUAACGAGGGACUGUUACAGAUCUGUAAACUGUCAUUUCUGCUGGGAACCAACCUCACCAGGUUGGAGGGGAUCCUGAGAGAAACUCCAGCCAGGCUGCCCACUGAGAUGGAGCCUUGGGAAGCUUAGGAUGUUUGCAGCAUGGAGGAGUCUCGCCCCUCCUCUUCUUGUGUGGAACCUGGGAUUCCAACAGUGGGCGUGAAGUGAUCUAGAAAGGACUCUGACCUAGCAAGAGUCCCUGUUUCCCCUUUUUCCUCCUCUUCA